AGCAUUCAUGAGAUUUUUCUUUGUGUUGAGCUGGUGGACAAAGACCUAAAAGGUGGGUGCUAAACAAAUGCUCUUUUGUAACUCAGGAUUCAUGGUUCUGUUCGCGUUUUGGUAGACACAAGAAGUAAUAUG